GAAACACGGACCAAGGAGUCUAGCAUGUGCGCGAGUCAUUGGGAAUAACUAAACCUAAAGGCGCAAUGAAAGUGAAGGUCCGCCUGGCGCGGACCGAGGGAAGAUGGGCGGUCACGUUCACGUGCCGCUCCGCACUCCCGGGGCGUCUCGUUCUCAUUGCGAGAAGAGGCGCACCAAGAGCGUACACGCUGGGACCCGAAAGAUGGUGAACUAUGCCUGGUCAGGACGAAGUCAGGGGAAACCCUGAUGGAGGUCCGUAGCGAUUCUGACGUGCAAAUCGAUCGUCGGAACUGGGUAUAGGGGCGAAAGACUAAUCGAACCAUCUAGUAGCUGGUUCCCUCCGAAGUUUCCCUCAGGAUAGCUGGCGCUCGUCGCCUACGAGUCUCAUCCGGUAAAGCGAAUGAUUAGAGGCAUUGGGGUCGAAACGGCCUCAACCUAUUCUCAAACUUUAAAUGGGUGAGAUCUCCGGCUUGCUCGAACUCAUGAAGCCGCGAGAGACGGAUCAGAGUGCCAAGUGGGCCAUUUUUGGUAAGCAGAACUGGCGCUGUGGGAUGAACCAAACGCCGAGUUAAAGCGCCUAAAUCGACGCUUAUGGGAUACCAUGAAAGGCGUUGGUAACUUAAGACAGCAGGACGGUGGCCAUGGAAGUCGGAAUCCG
rnacentral:rRNA from 1 species